UGAUGUGGAUUAAUUCGAUGCAACGCGAAAACCUUACCUACCCUUGACAUGUCCAGAAUCCUGCAGAGAUGCGGGAGUGCCCGAAAGGGAAUUGGAACACAGGUGCUGCAUGGCUGUCGUCAGCUCGUGUCGUGAGAUGUUGGGUUAAGUCCCGCAACGAGCGCAACCCUUAUCAUUAGUUGCUACGCAAGGGCAUUCUAAUGAGACUGCCGGUGACAAACCGGAGGAAGGUGGGGAUGACGUCAAGUCCUCAUGGCCCUUAUGGGUAGGGCUUCACACGUCAUACAAUGGUCGGUACAGAGGGUUGCCAAGCCGCGAGGUGGAGCCAAUCCCAGAAAGCCGAUCGUAGUCCGGAUUGUUCUCUGCAACUCGAGAGCAUGAAGUCGGAAUCGCUAGUAAUCGCGGAUCAGCAUGUCGCGGUGAAUACGUUCCCGGGUCUU
rnacentral:rRNA from 1 species